AUCCGGCUGAAGAGUCCCAAAUGGGACGAAACGCGCGUCCUGGAU
rnacentral:hammerhead_ribozyme from 1 species